GACGAACGCUGGCGGCGUGCUUAACACAUGCGAGUCGAACGGAAAGGCCCUGCUUUUGUGGGGUGCUCGAGUGGCGAACGGGUGAGUAACACGUGAGUAACCUGCCCUUGACUUUGGGAUAACUUCAGGAAACUGGGGCUAAUACCGGAUAGGAGCUCCUGCUGCAUGGUGGGGGUUGGAAAGUUUCGGCGGUUGGGGAUGGACUCGCGGCUUAUCAGCUUGUUGGUGGGGUAGUGGCUUACCAAGGCUUUGACGGGUAGCCGGCCUGAGAGGGUGACCGGCCACAUUGGGACUGAGAUACGGCCCAGACUCCUACGGGAGGCAGCAGUGGGGAAUACUGCACAAUGGGCGGAAGCCUGAUGCAGCAACGCCGCGUGCGGGAUGACGGCCUUCGGGUUGUAAACCGCUUUCGCCUGUGACGAAGCGUGAGUGACGGUAAUGGGUAAAGAAGCACCGGCUAACUACGUG
rnacentral:rRNA from 1 species